CCCUGCCCACAGCGUAGGACUCCCUGUCCCCCCCGGCCUUGGCAGCGUUUCAUCUUUGAGGAUCUUUUGGAGGAUGGCCAUUCUGAGUGGUGUAAGGAUCACUUGGCUUCUCGCUCCUGCUGGUCCGGCGGCGAGGACUCCUGGUUCUCAUCCGGCUCCCCAGGUCCAGUUCCUGACAGGGAACCACGACUGUCUUCAGGACCGCUCACUGCUCUCUCUGUCCGAGAUCAUGGUCAUCGUUUUCGUCACAGAGACUGGAAAGCAGGGCUCAGCUGCUGCCGCUAGCUUUGUCCUUGAGUGUCUGGGGGACAACAAAGCUUCAGCUUCACUCCACUUGACAGACACCAGCUUCCAGCCCAGAGGCCCCUCCAUCUCCUUCCUCAAAUCCCGCUGAGAGACAAGAACCCCAAACAUCUUCACUGGGAGGCUGAGGGCAAAGGAUCUGUUCUGAGGACUGCCUGGAGUCUCUGCAUCACCAGCAUCUUGAUGUGAAACUGCAGUAAUCUGAAAGAGACAAAUUUAACAAGAGCCACAGACCAGGAAUAUGAUCAAAGUGGAAUAAAGUCCUGAACAUAUCGGAACCUCAGACCAUUUUCCUGUGUCAGUAAAGAUGCCCAGUUUUAGGCAUGUUUUUCCCCCCCGAUCCACCCAUUUAAAUAAAGGCCAGACACUGUCACAGUAAA
ensembl:lncRNA